rnacentral:rRNA from 1 species
CCAGCCCGCUCAGAAACUUAAAUGAAUUGACGGGGGCCCGCACAAGCGGUGGAGCAUGUGGUUUAAUUCGAUGAUACGCGAGGAACCUUACCUGGGCUCAAAUGUAUGUUGACGUAUUCUGAAAGGGAUACUUCUUCGGACAAUAUACAAGGUGCUGCAUGGUUGUCGUCAGCUCGUGCCGUGAGGUGUCGGGUUAAGUCCCAUAACGAGCGCAACCCCUAUCAUUAGUUGCCAUCAGGUCAAGCUGGGGACUCUAAUGAAACUGCCUACGCAAGUAGUGAGGAAGGUGGGGAUGACGUCAAAUCAGCACGGCCCUUACGUCCAGGGCUACACACGUGCUACAAUGGCCGGUACAAAGGGCAGCUACCUGGUGACAGGAUGCUAAUCUCAAAAGCCGGUCUCAGUUCGGAUCGGAGUCUGCAACCCGACUCCGUGAAGUUGGAUUCGCUAGUAAUCGCGCAUCAGCCAUGGCGCGGUGAAUACGUUCCCGGGCCUU